rnacentral:lncRNA from 1 species
UAUAUGUAUGUAUACAUGUUUGUAAACGUAUUUACCUAACACUGCUACAACUUGCGAGGGCAAUAUAAAUUAACUUUUUUUUUUUAUAUUUUUGUUUUUAUAUUUUUUGUAAAAAUAGAAUGCACAUAUAUCUUAUGUACAUAUAUAUAAUAUAUGUAUAAUAUAUAUAAAUGAUAAGACGAAGUAAACUAAAUUUAAUCACUCAGUUAGUGACUCGGAGAAAGUUACAAACAUUUAUUCGUCACAAAGAAAGGCACGAUAUAAGUAACAAUGAAGAACUAACUUUUUUGUCAAACGAAAUAAAACAUAACUUGCAUAAAUUAAAAUGUAUAGAACAGAAGAAAAUAAAAACUGAUCGCAUAGUAUACAAUAAAAUAUUAAAAGAUCUUUUACAACACAAACAUAAAUUUGUUGCGGAUGAGCUGAUUCUUUUUUUAUAUAUAUUAAUAUAUAAUGAUUUAUAUUACUUAGACGUAUGUAACAAUUUUUAUUCUUAUUUUUAUCACAAUUAUCUUUUCUCAUAUAAGUAUUUUAAUAAUAUAAAUGUUAACAGUAUUAUUCACAUUAUUUAUUCAUACUACUUAUAUGAAAAUUAUAAUUUUUUUCGAUUAAAUAAUGAUAUUUUUAACAUUUACACCUCAAAUGAUAAUUUUUACAAAAAUAAACAAGACCAGCAUGAUGAUAAGAUCAAGAAUAAAAGAGGGGAAAACUAUUCCACUAAAAACCGUACACUUAAUGACAUGAUAGAAAAUAUUUAUGAUUCAAAUAUAUGGAAUACAAAUAAUAUUAUUGAUAGUAUUGACUCAAAACAAACAGUAGAUACGCAUAACAUAAGCAAUAAAAACAAUGAAAAAAUUGAAAAAGUUGAAAAAAUUGAAAAAAGUGGGCAAAGUGAAAAAAGUUAUAUUAAUAAAAACAACAAAUAUAAUAAUUAUUAUAAUAAUUAUGCUUAUGGUUGUUUUCAUAUUUACAAUCAUUUCUCUCCUUUCAUUUCUCUUAAUAUAGAUUAUAUAAAUAAAAAUCAUUUGAUAAAAAUUCUGUUAGUUCUUUCGCAAUUUGUUUAUAAUAAGACUAUUGUGGAGUAUAUUAACAAAAAUGUAGUGGAAACAGCGGUUAAUGCUCAGAGUGAAAAUGUUCAGAGUGAAAA